GACGAACGCUAGCGGCGUGCUUAACACAUGCAAGUCGAACGGAAAGGCCCUGCUUUUGUGGGGUGCUCGAGUGGCGAACGGGUGAGUAACACGUGAGUAACCUGCCCUAGACUUUGGUGGAGGUUAAGGAACUGGGGCUUAUGCCCGUACCGAAUACCACCUUCGGGGGAGGGGAUGGGAACUUUGGGCCGGUCGGGAUUGAAUUAGCGGCUUUCGGGCUUGUUGGUGGGGGGGGGGUUGACCAAGCCUUGGACGGGUAGCCGGCCGGUGAGGGUGAACGGCCACAUUGGGACUGAGAUACGGCCCAGACUCCUACGGGAGGCAGCAGUGGGGAAUAUUGCACAAUGGGCGGAAGCCUGAUGCAGCAACGCCGCGUGCGUGAUGACGGCCUUCGGGUUGUAAACCGCUUUCGCCUGAGACGAAGCGUGAGUGACGGUAAUGGGUAAAGAAGCACCGGCUAACUACGUG
rnacentral:rRNA from 1 species